rnacentral:rRNA from 1 species
CCUACGGGUGGCAGCAGUGGGGAAUAUUGCACAAUGGGGGAAACCCUGAUGCAGCGACGCCGCGUGAGUGAAGAAGUAUCUCGGUACGUAAAGCUCUAUCAGCAGGGAAGAAAAUGACGGUACCUGACUAAGAAGCCCCGCUAACUACGGGCCAAGCGCCGCCGGAAUACCGAGGGGGCAAGCGUUAUCCGGAUUUACUGGGUGUAAAGGGAGCGGAGACGGCAGCACAAGUCUGGAGUGAAAUCCCGGGGCUUAACCCCGGAACUGCCUUGGAAACUGUGCGGCUGGAGUGCAGGAGGGGUAAGCGGAAGUCCUAGUGUAGCGGUGAAAUGCGUAGAUAUUAGGAGGAACACCGGUGGCGAAGGCGGCUUACUGGACUGUAACUGACGUUGAGGCUCGAAAGCGUGGGGAGCAAACAGGAUUAGAUACCCCAGUAGUC